GUGCCAGCCGCCGCGGUAAUACGUAGGGGGCGAGCGUUGUCCGGAUUUAUUGGGCGUAAAGAGCUCGUAGGCGGUUCAACAAGUCGGUCGUGAAAGUUCAGGGCUCAACCCUGAAAUGUCGAUCGAUACUGUUGUGACUAGGAUACGGCAGAGGUGAGUGGAAUUCCAAGUGUAGAGGUGAAAUGCGUAGAUAUUCGGAGGAACACCAAUUGCGAAGGCAGUUCACUGGACCGUGAUCGACGCUGAGGUGCGAAAGCGUGGGGAGCAAACAGGAUUAGAUA
rnacentral:rRNA from 1 species